AUGCAGUCGAACGGAGUUUACAGGCAGAAGUUUUCGGAUGGAAGCUUGUAAACUUAGUGGCGGACGGGUGAGUAACACGUGAGCAACCUGCCUAUCAGAGGGGGAUAACGAUUGGAAACGAUCGCUAAUACCGCAUGACAUAGCGGAACCGCAUGGUUCUGUUAUCAAAGAUUUAUCGCUGAUAGAUGGGCUCGCGUCCGAUUAGAUAGUUGGUGGGGUAACGGCCUACCAAGUCGACGAUCGGUAGCCGGACUGAGAGGUCGAACGGCCACAUUGGGACUGAGACACGGCCCAGACUCCUACGGGAGGCAGCAGUGGGGGAUAUUGCACAAUGGGGGAAACCCUGAUGCAGCGACGCCGCGUGAGGGAAGACGGUCCUCUGGAUUGUAAACCUCUGUCUUCGGGGACGAAACGAGACGGUACCCGAGGAGGAAGCCACGGCUAACUACGUGCCAGCAGCCGCGGUAAUACGUAGGUGGCAAGCGUUGUCCGGAAUUACUGGGUGUAAAGGGAGCGUAGGCGGGCAGGCAAGUCAGGCGUGAAAUAUAUCGGCUCAACCGGUAACGGCGCUUGAAACUGCAGGUCUUGAGUGAAGUAGAGGUUGGCGGAAUUCCUAGUGUAGCGGUGAAAUGCGUAGAUAUUAGGAGGAACACCAGUGGCGAAGGCGGCCAACUGGGCUUUUACUGACGCUGAGGCUCGAAAGUGU
rnacentral:rRNA from 1 species